rnacentral:rRNA from 1 species
CCUACGGGAGGCAGCGGGGAAUAUUGGACAAUGGGCGAAAGCCUGAUCCAGUAAUGCCGCGUGUGUGAAGAAGGCCUUCGGGUUGUAAAGCACUUUAAGUUGGGAGGAAAAGCUGGGAGUUAAUAGCUCCUAGUGUUGACGUUACCAACAGAAGAAGCACCGGCUAACUCCGUGCCAGCAGCCGCGGUAAU